rnacentral:rRNA from 1 species
UGGGGAAUAUUGCACAAUGGGGGAAACCCUGAUGCAGCGACGCCGCGUGAAGGAUGAAGUAUUUCGGUAUGUAAAGCUCUAUCAGCAGGGAAGAAACUGACAGUACCUGAGUAAGAAGCCCCGGCUAACUACGUGCCAGCAGCCGCGGUAAUACGUAGGGGGCAAGCGUUAUCCGGAUUUACUGGGUGUAAAGGGAGCGUAGACGGCUUUGCAAGUCUGAAGUGAAAGCCCGGGGCCCAACCCCGGGACUGCUUUGGAAACUGUGUAGCUAGAGUACAGGAGGGGCAGGCGGAAUUCCUGGUGUAGCGGUGAAAUGCGUAGAUAUCAGGAGGAACACCGGCGGCGAAGGCGGCCUGCUGGACUGAAACUGACGUUGAGGCUCGAAAGCGUGGGGAGCAAACAGGAUUAGAUACCC